rnacentral:lncRNA from 1 species
GUAAGUCUGGAACUCUCUGAGCCCCCUGUCCUUAGAUACAGAGUGAGGAGAGACCAUUUUUCUAUCUCAUCCAGAAAGAAGAAAAAGACUUUGAUGUUUAAAGGUGCUUUAUCCAACCUAGCUAAGAGGUGCUUUGUAAUGUGAUUGUCACUAUAAAAGUCUGACCUACCCAAAUCCUCAAUACUCAUGCCUUUAAUUUCUAAUGCAGCAAAAUAGAAAAAAGAUUCUUCUAGGCAACUGAGUGGUUAAGACAGAAAGGUUCCAUACUUCCAGUUCUCGCUGUUGCAAGCAUGCUUUCCGUUCCAUUUUGUGUGGUUGUCUUUGGUUACAAAGUGAACAUAUUCAAAUUUUCCACAGCUUUUAAUUGUAGGUGCAAAAGAAUAUAUUUGCCCAUGUUUCUCUCUACAUUCUUCUACCCUGUGUAUAUAUAUCCAGUAUCUCUCUCUUUCUCUCUAUCUCAGAAAUAGUUGUUUUUAACAGUUAAUUCUGUGCCUCACCCAAAUUGUCAUUAAUUAAAUGCAGAUGUGCUGCCACACUGAUAAACUUCAUUGGAAAAAAACAAAAAACCAAACCCAGAGAUUUCCAAGUUUAAACUUUCCCCCUGAGAUCAGUGCUUAGUUUUCUAUUUAGAUAAUCCUGCCCCACCCGGAGCACUAGCUCUUAGCACCUUUCCCGAUACCUUGCCAUUUGCAGAGAGAGACACAACACUGAAUUAGUUUUGUAAAAUUAUACUGCCUGACGUUCCGUCUGCCUGCCUCUCUGGGUCUCUUGGUUUGCUUGUCUCUUUGAUAUUCUAUGUUUCUACCAUUUCUCCCAAACACUUGCAGUACUCAAAGCUAAAAUUAUCACACAAGAUGAAAGUGAAGAUGCAGUCAUUCUGCCUGAAUUCUCUUCACAUGCCACAUUAGCACUUGACGGCAGCAGCAAAAACAGAAUUGUGAAUCAUAUUUUCUAGUUUUGAAUUAAAUAGUCAGGACUGGAGUUCCCCCGGAAAACUCAGAUAUUUGGCUGCCACCUGUCUCUACCAGUUAUGAACAAGGACAGAUGAAAAUUCUCUAAGCCUGCAUCUCUACUAUGAUCCCCAGAAUCUUAUGCAGGCUGAUUUCCUGACCAAGGAUGAAGAACUUACUGGGUAUGAUGGUGAGUCUUGUUCCAGUCCCAAAGGUUAAUUUCUCAUUUCCAAAGUUAGAUACACAGUGUUCUAAGUCAUUGCAAAAACCAUCAUUCUAAACUCUCCAGACUCUACUGCAAGCCCCUGCCCCGUUUCUUGCAAAUCUCCUUCCUGCAAUGCUUCCACAACAUCAAAGGCACCAAUGACCCUUUCCUACCAUUUCCUGCUGGAACAGCUGAGAGAAACCAGAAUGAAAGGCUGUAAUUAGGAGAGGCUUGACAUGUGCGAUCUGUUUUGAUUUUUCUGCCACAUUUUUCUUCAGAGGGAAACAGAAAUCCUCUUUCUCUCUCCAGGUGGUAUCUAUCAGUGCAUCCCCCAGGUCUAAAUACAAGAGCGAUCGUGGACCCCCUGCCAUCUUUCUCAUCCUUUUAUACCAUCC